rnacentral:rRNA from 1 species
CUGGGCGUAAAGCGCGCGUAGGUGGUCUGUUAAGUCGGAUGUGAAAGCCCCGGGCUCAACCUGGGAACUGCAUCCGAUACUGGCAGACUAGAGUGCGGGAGAGGGAGGUAGAAUUCCACGUGUAGCGGUGAAAUGCGUAGAUAUGUGGAGGAAUACCAGUGGCGAAGGCGGCCUCCUGGCUCGACACUGACACUGAGGUGCGAAAGCGUGGGUAGCAAACAGGAUUAGAUACCCUGGUAGUCCACGCCGUAAACGAUGUCUACUAGCUGUAGGGGUACUUGAGACCUUUGUAGCGCAGCUAACGCACUAAGUAGACCGCCCGGGGAGUACGGCCGCAAGGUUAAAACUCAAAUGAAUUGACGGGGGCCCGCACAAGCAGUGGAGCAUGUGGUUUAAUUCGAUGCAACGCGAAGAACCUUACCAGGCCUUGACAUCCUCGGAACUUUCUAGAGAUAGAUUGGUGCCUUCGGGAACCGAGUGACAGGUGCUGCAUGGCUGUCGUCAGCUCGUGUCGUGAGAUGUUGGGUUAAGUCCCGUAACGAGCGCAACCCUUGUCCUUAGUUGCCAGCACAUUAUGGUGGGAACUCUAAGGAGACUGCCGGUGACAAACCGGAGGAAGGUGGGGACGACGUCAAGUCAUCAUGGCCCUUACGGCCUGGGCUACACACGUGCUACAAUGGCUAGGACAGACGGCCGCAAACCCGCGAGGGGGAGCCAAUCCGACAAACCUAGUCGUAGUCCGGAUCGGAGUCUGCAACUCGACUCCGUGAAGUCGGAAUUGCUAGUAAUCGCGAAUCAGAAUGUCGCGGUGAAUACGUUCCCGGGCCUUGUACACACCGCCCGUCACACCAUGGGAGUGGGUUGCUCCAGAAGUGGUUAGUCUAACCUUCGGGAGGACGAUCACCACGGAGUGAUUCAUGACUGGGGUGAAGUCGUAACAAGGUAGCCGUA